rnacentral:tRNA from 1 species
GCCAUAGUAGCUCAAUCAGAAAGAGCAUGCCCCCUGUAAACUCUGAAACGUAUUGUCAUUUGCAUGUAUUCACCUUCAAAAAAACGUUUCAGAGCCUGGACAGGGCACGGUCGCCGGUUUAAAUCUGGCCUAUGGCU